UACAGAGGGGGCAAGCGUUGUUCGGAAUUACUGGGCGUAAAGGGCGCGUAGGCGGCCUUCUAAGUCGAACGUGAAAUCCCUGGGCUCAACCCAGGAACUGCGUCCGAUACUGGAAGGCUUGAAUCCGGGAGAGGGAUGCGGAAUUCCAGGUGUAGCGGUGAAAUGCGUAGAUAUCUGGAGGAAUACCGGUGGCGAAGGCGGCAUCCUGGACCGAGAUUGACACUGAUGAGCGAAAGCCAGGGGAGCAAACGGG
rnacentral:rRNA from 1 species